rnacentral:lncRNA from 1 species
AUGGGAUCAGCCUUCCUACAGUUCUCUCCCUCUCUAAAGAAAUGUCCUACAUCUAUAUUGUAAAGAUAGAAAAAGAAAAAUUUUGAAGGCGCCAAGCUUAUGUCGAACCCAACCAGUCAGCUUUAUUGCUCUGCCUCUUUCUACAACUCAUCCUGUAAACAGCAUAAAAUGACGAAGAUCAUGAAUGCAACAAACACGGAAAAAAGUGCAUCAAUUUUAAGUUCAUGACCAUGUCAAGUGAAGAAUUAUACCUUUACUUUGUCCUUGGAGUCAGCAGACUCAGCACUCUCAUCUGCUUCUGCUUUAAUU